rnacentral:rRNA from 1 species
UGCAAGUCGAACGGUAACAUGGAUUGCUUGCAAUCUGAUGACGAGUGGCGCACGGGUGCGUAACGCGUAUGCAAUCUACCUUUUACAGGAGAAUAGCCCAGAGAAAUUUGGAAUAAUGCUCCAUAAUAUCAUUUAUCAGCAUUGGUUUAUGAUUAAAGCUCCGGCGGUAAAAGAUGAGCAUGCGUUCUAUUAGCUAGUAGGUGAGGUAACGGCUCACCUAGGCUACGAUAGAUAGGGGCCCUGAGAGGGGGAUCCCCCACACUGGUACUGAGACACGGACCAGACUCCUACGGGAGGCAGCAGUGAGGAAUAUUGGACAAUGGAGGAAACUCUGAUCCAGCCAUGCCGCGUGCAGGAUGACUGCCCUAUGGGUUGUAAACUGCUUUUAUAUAGGAAGAAACACUCCCACGUGUGGGGGCUUGACGGUACUAUAUGAAUAAGGAUCGGCUAACUCCGUGCCAGCAGCCGCGGUAAUACGGAGGAUCCAAGCGUUAUCCGGAAUCAUUGGGUUUAAAGGGUCCGCAGGCGGCCUGUUAAGUCAGAGGUGAAAUCCUACAGCUCAACUGUAGAACUGCCUUUGAUACUGAUAGGCUUGAGUUAUUGUGAAGUGGUUAGAAUGUGUGGUGUAGCGGUGAAAUGCUUAGAUAUCACACAGAAUACCCAUUGCGAAGGCAGAUCACUAACAAUAUACUGACGCUCAUGGACGAAAGCGUGGGGAGCGAACAGGAUUAGAUACCCUGGUAGUCCACGCCGUAAACGAUGGAUACUAACUGUUCGACCUUCGGGUUGAGUGGUCAAGCGAAAGUGAUAAGUAUCCCCCCUGGGGAGUACGCUCGCAAGAGUGAAACUCAAAG